UGCGUAGGUGGCAAGCGUUAUCCGGAAUUAUUGGGCGUAAAGAGCGCGCAGGUGGUUAAUUAAGUCUGAUGUGAAAGCCCACGGCUUAACCGUGGAGGGUCAUUGGAAACUGGUUGACUUGAGUGCAGAAGAGGGAAGUGGAAUUCCAUGUGUAGCGGUGAAAUGCGUAGAGAUAUGGAGGAACACCAGUGGCGAAGGCGGCUUCCUGGUCUGCAACUGACACUGAGGCGCGAAAGCGUGGGGAGCAAACAGG
rnacentral:rRNA from 1 species